GACGAACGCUGGCGGCGUGCUUAAUACAUGCAAGUCGAACGGAAAGGCCCUGCUUUUGUGGGGUGCUCGAGUGGCGAACGGGUGAGUAACACGUGAGUAACCUGCCCUUGACUUUGGGAUAACUUCAGGAAACUGGGGCUAAUACCGGAUAGGAGCUCCUGCUGCAUGGUGGGGGUUGGAAAGUUUCGGCGGUUGGGGAUGGACUCGCGGCUUAUCAGCUUGUUGGUGGGGUAGUGGCUUACCAAGGCUUUGACGGGUAGCCGGCCUGAGAGGGUGACCGGCCACAUUGGGACUGAGAUACGGCGCAGACUCCUACGGGAGGCAGCAGUGGGGAGUAUUGCACAAUGGGCGGAAGCCUGAUGCAGCAACGCCGCGUGCGUGAUGACGGCCUUCGGGUUGUAAACCGCUUUCGCCUGUGACGAAGCGUGAGUGACGGUAAUGGGUAAAGAAGCACCGGCUAACUACGUG
rnacentral:rRNA from 1 species